UCGCAGACAAAUUAAAAUUUAUUGAGACAGACAAAAAUGCAACUAUUUCAGACUACAAUUAAGCCUUUACAGUUAACCAAAGAUAGCAAAAUGUUCACAUUCCAGUUAACUCCUUAUGGAAAAAGCAUUCAGGAUUUACUAUGCAGUUCUACUUACUAUGAUAGCCUACAUCCAUCUACAGUAGGGACAUCGAACUGAAACACGGAAUAUUUGGAUCUCUCCGUACAGCUCUACACAUUUAACAGGAACGGACAUCAACAGCAUUGAGAAAAGUAUAAAAAGACCAAAAACCACCUACUGUAGAAAGGGCUUUUUUGAUGUAUAGUAACUGUACAAAGCGGUCUAUGUAGUAAAGGAACUUGAAUGGCGUACAGAAGGGACUGCAAUAAAAGCCAACAAAUGUAGGAAGCGAAGCUUGCGCGAUCUGGUGGUCUGUAUCAAGUGGUGACCUUAGAUCUAUGUCACUGGCUGCUUGAGGGGAAAGAUGCUACAAAACUUCUAAUAUCAAAAUAUUCCCAUGCCAGAAAUGUACACUGAGACUACAGGCUAGGCUGGCAAGGCAAAGAGUAGCAUUCACUAACAAACAGUGUUGUUUUAAAUAUAAACUUUACAUUUUCAAUAUAAACUGUAGAAUAAAUAUUAAAUAAACUUCAAAUGGCUUAAAAUAAUGGUCCGGAAUAGCUUAAAAAAAGGCAAAGAAAAGAAGUAUUCUUUGUGUUCACAGCGAAGGCCAUUAACGACCCAAAAAACCCAACUGUGCUGAAAUCUGAACUCAAGGAGAUUUUGAUUUAACCACAGCAGUUAAAAAGACACCUUGAAACAUAAAGCGAUGCCUAACAGUAUUUCAUAGUCUCUAAUACGAAAAGAAAAUGAGAUUAAAAAUUGGUUUGUGUCUCUAAAAGAAUGGGACAUCUCUGUUUCCAUUUUUAGACAAUGAGAAAAUGUUUGGAAGGUCAAUGAUUUGACGCAGCCAGGAAGUUCUGCUUUUGCAAAACAAAACAAAAAAAAAAAGGCAGUAAAGUAAGUCAGAAGUAAAUUAAAUGCUUUACAAAGCUCCCAGCUGUGCGUGUGGGUGUGGGUGUGGGUGUGGGUGCACAGAGGUGUGUGCAUAGAGGAAAUGUGUUGCCCACCCAAGGUAUCUGCCCUCGUACACCAACCUGCCCGGCUGUGCUCGUAGUUUCCCCUGGGGCCACAGCAUGUUUGAGUUUGUGAGUGUGCGAGACAGUGACUGCUUUCAAGUUUGGGAGAAAAAAUAUAAAACCUGUCAACUCUCACUUGGACUAGUCGCAUGCUAGAGAUGACAGGUAGGGCACGAUUAAUGGGGUAAGAAGGGGACGGCAGUGGCACGUCUGCUCAUGCAAACCGGAGGACUGUCCAUAUAUCUUAUGUCCAUGUAUCAUAUAUCCAUAUCUUCAAGGAUUUACUUAGCUAGCUAUUAGUUAACUAUCUUGCAUGUUUUGCAAGUCAUGCAGGAGGGCCACAGCCUUGCACCCUGGUGUUCCCUGCAAGGGCUUGGUUAGACGGGCAACACACUGGUGCAAGGCUGGGCAGGGAGAAGGGAUUUACUGCGUGGCCUUUUGAGCAGUGCACAGGUCCAGGAUAAGCGAUUGUAAAGGAACACAGGAGAGCAGGAAAAAAAAAUGCAUGUACGGGAAGGGCGUCCCUUCACGAGCAGAAGCAUGUUCUGUGAUUGAUUUUUUUUUAGCAGCUCCUCAGUCUUAUGUCAGAGCGAGUGAAAUGGCAAAUCUGUGGCCAGUGGCAGGUCCUGCAUGGGACCGCAGUGAUAGACCCAGAGACUAAGGUUUUAAUUAAUAAAAUGCCAGAAUGAAGCUAGCUGUGAUGGGCAAGAAGCAAGCUACUGGUGAUGCUCAAAAUGUUUCCCCCAGAAACAUACUAUUUAAGGAAAGCGAAAUGCGGGUUGUGUCUGUUCCUUUUGCAAGUCAGCAUAAUUUUCUGUGAAAGGCAAGAAGGAAAAGGGUGUGUGUGUGUGUGUAUGUGUGUGCUGUGUAGCUCACAGUGAUUUUUAAAUAGCUUUUCAAAAGCUAGAGGGAAACCAAAGGGAUUUAAUUUGAAGCAGGGUGGAUUGCCAGCCUUUCACAAAUGACUGUUUAGGUAGCUUUUUGCAGGGAAGGGGUGCAAAACAGCACAUAAAACAAAUUCCUCAUGAUUUUACACAUCCUUCUGCAUUAAUAACAAUUAUGCAGGCUUAGUCUUUGUUUUCAGGUCAUUAAUCUAGACAAAUGGGAAAUGAAAGAGGAGAAAACAAGUGAGUCCCUGCAACUUGUAUCGCCUGAACCAACAGUCCCCUUUCUGUACUGCUUUUCUGCUCGCAUCUGGAGGCGCAGGUCUGACGCGGCGGGAGAGACGGGCUGCAGAGCUCGCAGAGGCUCAGCCGCAUGCAGUGACUACAGCCUUUGUGGGCGAGGACCACAGCCUUUGGGCCGGCGUCCCCUGAAAAGUGACUCCUGCCAAGCGAAAUGGGAUUUGCCAUGGACUGGGUGAGCCACCCACUUUUUACUCCGUGCCGUCCCCGGUUCCAUAGCCAACACUGUAACUCAGAGGCAGAACUCUUCCCCUUGGAGGCGUUUUCUGUGCAAUGAGCACAUUUUUAAUUCUGCAGAAGUACACCACAGGCAAAUCACAGGCACUGCUACAAUACUUAACAUCUGCCUCCCAGGGCAAUAGUGGAAUUCAGGUACCCAGAAAAGCAUCCAAAGCUAUUGGAGCGCCUUUUGCUGUAUUGAUGAAAGGGGUCCUACAUGCUUUCUGUUCCUGAAACCUUCGCACUACAGCCAGGGAGCUCUUCCUCAUGUAAGUGUCCGCACUGAAAAGUUUAUACAAUUAGGUCUCUAGUUAAACAACAGCAGUCAACGUGGCCUCUCCUCCAGCAUCUAACAUCAAGAGCAAUGGAUGAAUCUAACUGCUCAGGGUGCCAGGUGUGCUCGGUCACAUCCACCCAACUUGACUUCUCAAGGAGAAGGAUUAAAUGCCAACCGCUAAUCACGAAACAGGCACGCCAGCGAGGGUGACCACACACUACCCAGCCAGAGCUGCCUGCCUUCUCUGAACAUGCAAGUUCACUAACAUGCAAAAUUACGUAUUAACCACCUAGCAUAGAAAGACUUUUUUUCCCCUUUAAAAAAGUGAAUCAACCAAAUACAUUCCUGGUGUAAGUCAUGGACAUCAAUGGAAUUAAUCUAUGUAGCUUGAGGGUAAAUUUGUUCCUAAAUGUUUUUCUAUAGUAAAAACAAACAAACAACCCCUACUCCCCACAACAAAUGUGCCUGCGUACAUAAAUAUUCCUUUCCUUGGCUCUUCCCACUUCUUCAUGUUACUGAAAACAGCAAAAAUAACAUAUGGUCACCAUAGUACGUUCCUGCAUCAGAGAACGGCAGGGGGAAA